rnacentral:lncRNA from 1 species
GUUGUGAUUGGUGGGUAUUUGUUGUGAUUGAUUGGUGGGUAUUUGUUGUGAUUGCUUGGUGGGUAUUUGUUGUGAUUGGUGGGUAUUUGUUGUGAUUGGUGGGUAUUUGUUGUGAUUGAUUGGUGGGUAUUUGUUGUGAUUGCUUGGUGGGUAUUUGUUGUGAUUGGUGGGUAUUUGUUUGAUUGGUGGGUAUUGUGAUUGGUGGGUAUUUGUUUGAUUGGUGUGUAUUGUGAUUGGUGGGUAUUUGUUAUGAUUGAUUGGUGGGUAUUUGUUGUGAUUGGUGGGUAUUUGUUGUGAUUGGUGGGUAUUUGUUGUGAUUGAUUGGUGGGUAUUUGUUGUGAUUGGUGGGUAUUUGUUGUGAUUGAUUGGUGGGUAUUUGUUGUGAUUGGUGGGUUUCAUGUGCUGGUCUGUGUACUUGUUCCUUCAGUGUUGAUUUUGGGUUCUAACCUUACAACCUUUUUCUCUUUCAUUUUUAGUUUCUUUUUGCACAGUAUAUGCCUGAAUGGCUCUGGGUGUGGGGAGCAAAUAUUCUCAACCGUUCACUACGUAAGGAAGCCUUAUCCUGCACAGCCUGAGUCUGGAUGGCCACUUGAGAAGUUUUGCCAACUCCUGGGAACCUCGAUAUUCUGACAUUUGGAAAAACACAUUUAAUUUAUCUCCUGUGUUUCAUUGCUGAUUAUUCAGCAUACUGUUGAUUCGUCAUUUGCAAAACACACAUAAUACCGUCAGAGUGCUGUGAAAAACCUUAAGGGUGUGUGGAUGGCACAGGAUCAAUAAUGCCUGAGGCUGAUUGACGACAUCUACAUUUCAGUGCUUUUUCCCUAAGCUGUUUGAAAGUUACGCUUUUCUGUUGUUCUAGAGCCACAGCAGUCUAAUAUUGAAAUAUAAUAUGAUUUGUCAGGUCUUAUAAUUUCAGAUGUUGUUUUUUAAGGGAAAUUGACCAUUUCACUAGAGGAGUUGUGCUGGUUUUUAAAUGUGCAUCAAGAAAGACUACUGAAAAGUAUUAUUUUGUAACUAAGAUUGCUGGUACUAUUAGGAAAAAUCUGUGUGUAUUGUAUAGCUCUAGCUGUUUGACUAUCUGUAAUGAAAAUGCUGCACUUCAACUGGUAUUUCAUUAGAGAACCGUGUGUGUGCGUGUGUGUGGUGCCUUUGAGCAACUUUAUUUAUGGUUACCAUAUUUUUAAAAAGAUUUUUUGUCAGGGUGACUUAACAUGGACUCUUAUAGGGUAUUAAAACAAUCUAGAUUAUUCCUUUUCAUCCUAAAUAAGCCUACCAAAUUUCAUGCUGUUGGUUUGCCAUGAAUGAUAUUACUUCCUACAUUAUAUUUGUGUUUUUUCAAAUCUGCUAUGGAAUGAACUUAUUCCUAGAUUUGGAUAUGUAAGAGAAACCUGCAGUCAUCUUUUGAUUUAUAAGGCAAUUCUUGUGGAUAAAUAGUGAUUUCUCAGCCUCUGACCCAUUUUAUAACUGAAAUUUAGCCCUUUAGAGCUUGUUAUAUCUGGUUUUCCUACGUUUUUCUAUGUAAUAUUAUUCCAUUCCAGUAGCAUUAUUGAUAGAAAUAGUAAGUAUUUAUGGAAUAGUAAAAUAUGGACAAAUUACGUGUGUGACAUAUCUGUCAAUAUAAGUUAGAAGCUUAUUCUUGGUUUGUGUAAUGAAUUUAUGUAUUGUAGUGAAUACCUUUACUGGUGUGAAGAUAAUUAUGCACAAACCCUCACAAUACGCGUUAACAUUGAAACCUGUGAAAUGUCCUUAGUUUGGGUCAUAUAAAGCCAACCAUUUUUGAGGACCAUGUACCUAGUGCUUUGAAAACUCUAAGUCACUAUAUGAAUAUGACAAUAUGUGCACAUUUAAAAUUCAGAGCUCGGCAUUGUGAUACUGAUGCAGAAGCUAGUAGAUUGGUUAAAAGUCUGGACUUCUGUGGCAUUUUUUUCGUGACGUGAUAAUCUAUCAUAAGCAGACCUAAGCACAGUUUUAUGAACACAAUUUUGCCCAUGACAUUGCCUACAGGAUUUCCAGAUGUGACUUGCACUCAGAAGAUCAGUGGUCAACUUCAGAAGCUCUUCCACGCUUAGAUCAUGUCUUCAGAACUUAGAUGUGAAAAUCUACACACUGGGAGAUGCUGUGAGCCCCAAGGUUUUGAUGGAGUUUGCUUGGAAUCCUCUUGACUUCAUGCCACAUUGACGUGAACUUUGAUGUAUAAUAAGCAGCAGCAACUUCAUGUGAAAAUAUGGUCAGGUAGUUAUAUGUAAGGUUACGUGGUCCAGUAAUGUCUUAGAUUGAUAAAUUAGGUAUGGAAUCCAUCAGUGUUACGUGAUGAGAAUAGGUGAACACACCUUGUCAGUGAUGAUGUAAACUUCUCUCCUUGGCAGGACAUGGGCAAACAUGCUGAUUGGUGCAAAUGUGGUGCCGAGCUGUCCAUAGCUGCAGUGAAAGAUGAAGAGCAAGACCUUCUCUAGGUUUUCUAGCUUUCAUUAAAUGUAUUUUUUUCCCCAGAGCUAAUUUGAAAGUUGAUUGGACCACUGUGGAUGGGGUGUCAUUAAGAAUGUGGGAAAUAGGGGCCGAGUGCGGUGGCUCACACCUGUAAUCCCAGCAGUUUGGAAGGCCAGGGCAGGUGGAUCGCUUGAUCCCAGGAGGUCGAGACCAGCCUGGGGAACACAUCCUGUCUCUACAAAAAAUACAAAAAUUAGCCAGGCAGGGUGGUGCAUGCCUGUAGUCCCAGCUACUUGGGAGGCUGAGGCAGGAGAAUUUUUUGAGCCCAGGAUGCAGAGGUUGAAGUGAGCCAAGAUCGUGCCACUGCACUCCAGCCUUGAGACAGAGCGAGACCCUGUCUC